UACAGGGGGCGCGAGCGUUGCUCGGAAUCACUGGGCGUAAAGCGAACGCAGGCGGACCGUUAAGUCGGAUGUGAAAGCCCGGGGCUCAACCCCGGAAGUGCAUUCGAAACUGGCGGUCUUGAGUACGGGAGAGGUGGGUGGAAUUCCUGGUGUAGAGGUGAAAUUCGUAGAUAUCAGGAGGAACACCGGUGGCGAAAGCGGCCCACUGGCCCGAUACUGACGCUGAGGUGCGAAAGCGUGGGGAGCAAACAGG
rnacentral:rRNA from 1 species